UUUUAUAUUAUAUACCCACAAUUAUGGAACAGCUGUUUUAAGUUCCCUGAACGAUAUUUUUUCAUAGGCAAAAGCAGGGCUGCGAAGUUGGAGUCUUGGAGUAUAAAUUAGAGAAUUUUGUUGGAAAAAUUUUGCUCGACUCCCACUCCGGGCAAGAAAAAUUUUUAAGGAACAUUUUAUUUUAAAUAUCUGCCUGGGUUGGAGUCCCGGCGAGAACAUCAGCAAAAAAUUUCAGCGGUGGUUAUCCCUUUCCAUUGCUGGCGACAUUUGUGAAAUAUUUUGCCAUGUGAAAACUUUUUUCCAAAGAGGUGUCACAAUGCGGCACCCCUGUCAAGGGUCUAAGCGCAACUCAAUGUGCCAAAUUUUAGUGAAAUUGGGUAAUACAUGUGGCUUUGAAAGGCCUUAACCCUUGGUUCUUUGAAAGACCAAUCUUCCAACUUUAUUUUUCUGAAAUUUCUCUGCGCCUGAAAGAAGAAAGAUCAAGAUCGACCCAUCGGCCUAUGCAAAUAAUUAUUGGAUAUAAUUAAAAUAGGACGGUAGGGUAUGCAAAGUUCUAGACGGCCCAACUUAUUUAUUCCUAUUAUUCUAUCCUACCUAUGUAUUCUUUCUUUAAACAUUAAAAUUAAAUUUGCAAAAAAUAA